rnacentral:rRNA from 1 species
CGAAAGCCUGACGGAGCAAGACCGCGUGAGGGAGGAAGGCUCUUGGGUUGUAAACCCCUUUUAUCUGGGAAGAACAAAAUGACGGUACCAGAUGAAUAAGCCUCGGCUAACUCCGUGCCAGCAGCCGCGGUAAUACGGAGGAGGCAAGCGUUAUCCGGAUUUAUUGGGCGUAAAGAGUCCGUAGGUGGUUCAUCAAGUCUGCUGUUAAAGCGUGCAGCUCAACUGCAUAUAGGCAGUGGAAACUGUUGAACUAGAGUAUGGUAGGGGUAGGGGGAAUUCCCAGUGUAGCGGUGAAAUGCGUAGAGAUUGGGAAGAACACCGGUGGCGAAAGCGCUCUACUGGACGGCAACUGACACUCAGGGACGAAAGCUAGGGGAGCG